UCCGUUAUGUGAGAAACUGACGUGACGUAGCAUGUAUUUGGUGCUACAAUUUCCUAUCAUCUGAGGGGUAUCUGUGGUAAGUAUCCAUCUAGGAAUAAUUUUGUUUCAUAUUUAAUCCUUACCUAAAAUUGUGUAAUAUUUCGGCGAUAUAUUCAUAUGCUGAUUGCAUGCGAAGUAAAACCGGCCCCUUACGAAACUUAUAGCAGACGACAUAUUCCCCGCCAUUUUGACCGUCAUUUCUGCCAUUGUUCCACAAGCAUUAUUUGCAAAUUGUGAGAUGAAAUCCCAAUCCAAACUGCACUUGUGACAUUUUGAAAGUUUCCGUUUAUUUGAAUGAUGUUCAAAUAAAAUGAAUAUAUAUUUCAGGUUCUAUAUGAAUCGCCUGAAAGUACGAAGCGGGCAACAAAUCUCAUGCAACAAAUCUCUGAAGAUCUAAAUUUGGGAUCCGAGGGCAUGAUCAGCAUGCAUCGACAAUGCAUCGAAUCAGCAGAGAGUAGGGUUGCAUUGCAGAUAAUCAGUACCAUCCUUGGAAAUUAUUGCACACAGCACACGUCUACGCAAAGGAGGAAAAGAAACAAGGUUUUUCAGAUCAAAUAAGAAGGAUGUUGCGGAGUCGUAUUUGACAUGAAGUUUCCUGAAGCAUGCGAUGGUCAUGUCGCUGUUACGAACAACGUCCUUGGGGAUAUUUACCCACAAGAAACAUCUGCGAAGUACUUGCGCUUCGUGAAAGACUUGACACUUAAGUUAUCUUAAGUAUGGAAGUAUGCUUCACUUUGCUACAUGACAGUUUGUAAUGUUUCAUGAAGAACUCUGACUAACAUAUUUAAGUGACUUGAAUAUCCAUGAUCAUGACAAAUAAAUGUAAUAAAGAAUUCAUGGUUGCAGUUCA